UGGGGAAUAUUGCACAAUGGGCGCAAGCCUGAUGCAGCCAUGCCGCGUGUGUGAAGAAGGCCUUCGGGUUGUAAAGCACUUUCAGCGGGGAGGAAGGCGAUAAGGCUAAUAACCUUGUCGAUUGACGUUACCCGCAGAAGAAGCACCGGCUAACUCCGUGCCAGCAGCCGCGGUAAUACGGAGGGUGCAAGCGUUAAUCGGAAUUACUGGGCGUAAAGCGCACGCAGGCGGUCUGUCAAGUCGGAUGUGAAAUCCCCGGGCUUAACCUGGGAACUGCAUUCGAAACUGGCAGGCUAGAGUCUUGUAGAGGGGGGUAGAAUUCCAGGUGUAGCGGUGAAAUGCGUAGAGAUCUGGAGGAAUACCGGUGGCGAAGGCGGCCCCCUGGACAAAGACUGACGCUGAGGUGCGAAAGCGUGGGGAGCAAACAGG
rnacentral:rRNA from 1 species